UACGUAGGCAGCGAGCGUUGUUCGGAAUUACUGGGCGUAAAGAGCGUGUAGGCGGCCACUUAAGUCCUGCGUGAAAUCUUGCGGCUCAACCGCAAGCGGUCGUGGGAAACUGGGUGGCUAGAGUGCGGGAGAGGAGAGUGGAAUUCCUGGUGUAGCGGUGGAAUGCGCAGAUAUCAGGAAGAACACCCGUGGCGAAGGCGGCUCUCUGGAACGCAACUGACGCUGAGACGCGAAAGCGUGGGGAGCAAACAGG
rnacentral:rRNA from 1 species